rnacentral:rRNA from 1 species
CACGUAGGGUGCGAGCGUUGUCCGGAAUUAUUGGGCGUAAAGAGCUCGUAGGCGGUGUGUCGCGUCGGCCGUGAAAACCUGCAGCUUAACUGUGGGCUUGCGGUCGAUACGGGCAUCACUGGAGUUCGGCAGGGGAGACUGGAAUUCCUGGUGUAGCGGUGAAAUGCGCAGAUAUCAGGAGGAACACCGGGGGCGAAGGCGGGUCUCUGGGCCCGGAGUACUGGACGCUGAGGAGCGAAAGCGUGGGGAGCGAACAGG